GCCCUGGAGGAUAUCUCAGUCAGCAGAGCACGAGACACUUAAUCUCAGGGCUGUGGGUUCAAGUCUCACAUUGGACA